AUGAGAGAUGAUCUGAUUGUUUAUUUUUCUGCUCUUCUGAACCAAACAGUGCCAUGGGACUUGCCAUUUGUAAUGAUGUUAGGCUUAAGGUCUCUCAAACUUCUUUGGUUGACUGAAAUAGUUCAGAAGGCAGUGUUCUGUAGGUUGAAUAUUAUGUGCAUUUUCAUUGCAGAAGUUAGCCUCACAGUGGACCUUAUACAAGUUAGCGUUAAUGGUACAGUAGUUGUACUAGCUUUUGAUCACCUGGAUAAGUCAAGGAGAGGUGGGCAUUUGAAUAUGUGCCAACUAUUCUGUUUCAUGUCUCUUUUUUUUAAUGGCAAAACUAACUUUCUUUACUUGCUAUAG
rnacentral:rRNA from 1 species